CAGUCGCCACGGUAAUACGAAGGGUGCGAGCGUCAAUCGGAAUUACUGGGCGUAAAGCGUGCGCAGGCGGUUGUGUAAGACAGGUGUGAAAUCCCCGGGCUUAACCUGGGAACUGCGCUUGUGACUGCACAGCUAGAGUAUGGCAGAGGGGGGUGGAAUUCCACGUGUAGCAGUGAAAUGCGUAGAGAUGUGGAGGAACACCGAUGGCGAAGGCAGCCCCCUGGGCCAAUACUGACGCUCAUGCACGAAAGCGUGGGGAGCAAACAGGAUUAGAUACCCGAGUAGUCCCUGUCUCUUAUAC
rnacentral:rRNA from 1 species